UGCAAGUCGAGCGAACAGAUAAGGAGCUUGCUCCUUUGACGUUAGCGGCGGACGGGUGAGUAACACGUGGAUAACCUACCUAUAAGACUGGGAUAACUUCGGGAAACCGGAGCUAAUACCGGAUAACAUAUUGAACCGCAUGGUUCAAUAGUGAAAGGCGGCUUUGCUGUCACUUAUAGAUGGAUCCGCGCCGUAUUAGCUAGUUGGUAAGGUAACGGCUUACCAAGGCAACGAUACGUAGCCGACCUGAGAGGGUGAUCGGCCACACUGGAACUGAGACACGGUCCAGACUCCUACGGGAGGCAGCAGUAGGGAAUCUUCCGCAAUGGGCGAAAGCCUGACGGAGCAACGCCGCGUGAGUGAUGAAGGUCUUCGGAUCGUAAAACUCUGUUAUCAGGGAAGAACAAAUGUGUAAGUAACUGUGCACAUCUUGACGGUACCUGAUCAGAAAGCCACGGCUAACUACGUGCCAGCAGCCGCGGUAAUACGUAGGUGGCAAGCGUUAUCCGGAAUUAUUGGGCGUAAAGCGCGCGUAGGCGGUUUUUUAAGUCUGAUGUGAAAGCCCACGGCUCAACCGUGGAGGGUCAUUGGAAACUGGAAAACUUGAGUGCAGAAGAGGAAAGUGGAAUUCCAUGUGUAGCGGUGAAAUGCGCAGAGAUAUGGAGGAACACCAGUGGCGAAGGCGACUUUCUGGUCUGUAACUGACGCUGAUGUGCGAAAGCGUGGGGAUCAAACAGGAUUAGAUACCCUGGUAGUCCACGCCGUAAACGAUGAGUGCUAAGUGUUAGGGGGUUUCCGCCCCUUAGUGCUGCAGCUAACGCAUUAAGCACUCCGCCUGGGGAGUACGACCGCAAGGUUGAAACUCAAAGGAAUUGACGGGGGACCCGCACAAGCGGUGGGAGCAUGUGGGUUUAAUUCCAAAGCAACGCGAAAAAACCUUACCCAAAUCCUUGAACAUCCCUUUGACCGCCUCUAGAAGAUAAAAGUUUUUCCCCCUU
rnacentral:rRNA from 1 species